AUGGAGAGUAAACUGGGAACUGUGCUGGGGAUUCUGUGGGUGCAGAUUUGCUGGGUGAGAGGACUUGAUGUGGAGCACAGUCCUUCAGACAUGAGUCUCCAUGAGGGAACCAGUUCUGCCCUGAGAUGCAAUUUUUCUACCACCAUCAUGAGUGUGCAGUGGUUCCGACAGAAUCCCAGGGGCAGCCUCAUCAGACUGUUUUACCUGACUCCUGGAACAAAGGAGAAUGGAAGGCUAACAUCAACAUUCAACUCCAAGGAGCGCUACAGCACCCUGCAUAUAGAGGAUGCCCAGCUAGAGGACUCAGGCACCUACCUCUGUGCAGUGGAGGCACAGUGCUUUCUACAAGCCUUCAGCCUGGUCCCAAACUGCAGCUGGGUGUGCAGCUGCAGCCCUGACAUGGGGAGACUCGACAGGAGGCUUUUCACAGUGGUGGUUUUAUCAGAUCCUCACCAAUUACGAAGAAAUUGGGUGAGCCAAGGAGAACAGGUGGAAGAGCAUCCUUCUACCCUGAGAGUCCAGGAGGGAGCCAGCGCUGUCAUCAACUGCACAUAUGUGGACAGAACCAUGUACAACUUUCUUUGGUAUAAGCAAGGACUUGAAGAGCAUCCUAAGCUCAUUGUUGACAUUCAUUCAAAUGUGCAAAGAAAGGAAGACUAA